GGGUUGUGAGGUUAAGCGACUAAGCGUACACGGUGGAUGCCCUGGCAGUCAGAGGCGAUGAAGGACGUGCUAAUCUGCGAUAAGCGUCGGUAAGGUGAUAUGAACCGUUAUAACCGGCGAUUUCCGAAUGGGGAAACCCAGUGUGAUUCGUCACACUAUCAUUAACUGAAUCCAUAGGUUAAUGAGGCGAACCGGGGGAACUGAAACAUCUAAGUACCCCGAGGAAAAGAAAUCAACCGAGAUUCCCCCAGUAGCGGCGAGCGAACGGGGAGCAGCCCAGAGCCUGAAUCAGUGUGUGUGUUAGUGGAAGCGUCUGGAAAGGCGCGCGAUACAGGGUGACAGCCCCGUACACAAAAAUGCACAUACUGUGAGCUCGAUGAGUAGGGCGGGACACGUGGUAUCCUGUCUGAAUAUGGGGGGACCAUCCUCCAAGGCUAAAUACUCCUGACUGACCGAUAGUGAACCAGUACCGUGAGGGAAAGGCGAAAAGAACCCCGGCGAGGGGAGUGAAAAAGAACCUGAAACCGUGUACGUACAAGCAGUGGGAGCACGCUUAGGCGUGUGACUGCGUACCUUUUGUAUAAUGGGUCAGCGACUUAUAUUCUGUAGCAAGGUUAACCGAAUAGGGGAGCCGAAGGGAAACCGAGUCUUAACUGGGCGUUAAGUUGCAGGGUAUAGACCCGAAACCCGGUGAUCUAGCCAUGGGCAGGUUGAAGGUUGGGUAACACUAACUGGAGGACCGAACCGACUAAUGUUGAAAAAUUAGCGGAUGACUUGUGGCUGGGGGUGAAAGGCCAAUCAAACCGGGAGAUAGCUGGUUCUCCCCGAAAGCUAUUUAGGUAGCGCCUCGUGAAUUCAUCUCCGGGGGUAGAGCACUGUUUCGGCAAGGGGGUCAUCCCGACUUACCAACCCGAUGCAAACUGCGAAUACCGGAGAAUGUUAUCACGGGAGACACACGGCGGGUGCUAACGUCCGUCGUGAAGAGGGAAACAACCCAGACCGCCAGCUAAGGUCCCAAAGUCAUGGUUAAGUGGGAAACGAUGUGGGAAGGCCCAGACAGCCAGGAUGUUGGCUUAGAAGCAGCCAUCAUUUAAAGAAAGCGUAAUAGCUCACUGGUCGAGUCGGCCUGCGCGGAAGAUGUAACGGGGCUAAACCAUGCACCGAAGCUGCGGCAGCGACGCUUAUGCGUUGUUGGGUAGGGGAGCGUUCUGUAAGCCUGCGAAGGUGUGCUGUGAGGCAUGCUGGAGGUAUCAGAAGUGCGAAUGCUGACAUAAGUAACGAUAAAGCGGGUGAAAAGCCCGCUCGCCGGAAGACCAAGGGUUCCUGUCCAACGUUAAUCGGGGCAGGGUGAGUCGACCCCUAAGGCGAGGCCGAAAGGCGUAGUCGAUGGGAAACAGGUUAAUAUUCCUGUACUUGGUGUUACUGCGAAGGGGGGACGGAGAAGGCUAUGUUGGCCGGGCGACGGUUGUCCCGGUUUAAGCGUGUAGGCUGGUUUUCCAGGCAAAUCCGGAAAAUCAAGGCUGAGGCGUGAUGACGAGGCACUACGGUGCUGAAGCAACAAAUGCCCUGCUUCCAGGAAAAGCCUCUAAGCAUCAGGUAACAUCAAAUCGUACCCCAAACCGACACAGGUGGUCAGGUAGAGAAUACCAAGGCGCUUGAGAGAACUCGGGUGAAGGAACUAGGCAAAAUGGUGCCGUAACUUCGGGAGAAGGCACGCUGAUAUGUAGGUGAAGUCCCUCGCGGAUGGAGCUGAAAUCAGUCGAAGAUACCAGCUGGCUGCAACUGUUUAUUAAAAACACAGCACUGUGCAAACACGAAAGUGGACGUAUACGGUGUGACGCCUGCCCGGUGCCGGAAGGUUAAUUGAUGGGGUUAGCGCAAGCGAAGCUCUUGAUCGAAGCCCCGGUAAACGGCGGCCGUAACUAUAACGGUCCUAAGGUAGCGAAAUUCCUUGUCGGGUAAGUUCCGACCUGCACGAAUGGCGUAAUGAUGGCCAGGCUGUCUCCACCCGAGACUCAGUGAAAUUGAACUCGCUGUGAAGAUGCAGUGUACCCGCGGCAAGACGGAAAGACCCCGUGAACCUUUACUAUAGCUUGACACUGAACAUUGAGCCUUGAUGUGUAGGAUAGGUGGGAGGCUUUGAAGUGUGGACGCCAGUCUGCAUGGAGCCGACCUUGAAAUACCACCCUUUAAUGUUUGAUGUUCUAACGUUGACCCGUAAUCCGGGUUGCGGACAGUGUCUGGUGGGUAGUUUGACUGGGGCGGUCUCCUCCUAAAGAGUAACGGAGGAGCACGAAGGUUGGCUAAUCCUGGUCGGACAUCAGGAGGUUAGUGCAAUGGCAUAAGCCAGCUUGACUGCGAGCGUGACGGCGCGAGCAGGUGCGAAAGCAGGUCAUAGUGAUCCGGUGGUUCUGAAUGGAAGGGCCAUCGCUCAACGGAUAAAAGGUACUCCGGGGAUAACAGGCUGAUACCGCCCAAGAGUUCAUAUCGACGGCGGUGUUUGGCACCUCGAUGUCGGCUCAUCACAUCCUGGGGCUGAAGUAGGUCCCAAGGGUAUGGCUGUUCGCCAUUUAAAGUGGUACGCGAGCUGGGUUUAGAACGUCGUGAGACAGUUCGGUCCCUAUCUGCCGUGGGCGCUGGAGAACUGAGGGGGGCUGCUCCUAGUACGAGAGGACCGGAGUGGACGCAUCACUGGUGUUCGGGUUGUCAUGCCAAUGGCACUGCCCGGUAGCUAAAUGCGGAAGAGAUAAGUGCUGAAAGCAUCUAAGCACGAAACUUGCCCCGAGAUGAGUUCUCCCUGAGACUUUAAGUCUCCUGAAGGAACGUUGAAGACGACGACGUUGAUAGGCCGGGUGUGUAAGCGCAGCGAUGCGUUGAGCUAACCGGUACUAAUGAACCGUGAGGCUUAACCUUACAACGCCGAAGGUGUUU
rnacentral:rRNA from 1 species